AUUUCUAUCUUUUUUCUUGCAUACCAGAGAGCUGGAGAAGACGACGCUGCUCGUUCAAGAAUCACUACGCCCCAACACGAACCCUGAAUCACUUGUCAAUCUUACUCGGGAUUUAGUUUCGUCGACGCGAUUUCUUUUGCAAGAUCUGGCGCCGAUUCGAUUGGAUCCGAAUCUAGAUACCCGAGCAAUGAUUGACUAGCCCUUCGUCGGUCGUGUUCUUCAAGAUUCAAAUUUUCUAUUCUUGCCUUGCCUCGGUCUCGGAUCGCAGGAGGAUCUCUGUUGCGUGUUCUUGCGGCGGUGCCGCGGAGGCUGAAUUGGGUCUAACUUACACAUAGCAAUGUGUUCCGAAAAUCUAAACAAGAUUGCAAAUUUUACCUGGAAGCAGAUGAAACUUGACGUGCAUUGCCUGGUCUAUGUUGCAUAAAGUAAACAUUGAAACGAGGGGGAGGAAAGAUUGGAUGGGUGACUUAUUAAUUUAGCAUGAAGGCGAUUCGGGCAAUUUCUCUACAUUUUGAUGCAGUUGAAAAUCAUUCAAUUGGAAAAGAUGCAACUUUAAGAGUAGGAAGAAUCGCGACAGGCGCGAAACUUUAUAGUUUUAGCUCUCGUUUAAUUUUUUUUCCCCCUGAGUGCAGAAUUCGUUUGAAGAAAUGAGGGAAUCACUUCCCUGAGUGCUGCAACUGACCAGCCUCCUUCAUUUACAUCGGAAGAUAGCUUACUGGGGAAUGGUUAGCAUGAAAAUUACUUUGGAGUGCUGCGUCAAGGUCUUAUAUGUCUUCAUCCUGAAGCUAAGUGAGCUCCUAUAAUGCAGUAAAAUAUUUGAAAGAAUAAGAAUUGAGCAUAGAUAACGAGCACUCUUGAUUACUUCAGUCCUGCUAAAAAAUUUACUAGAACUCCUAAUAGAUAAAUACUAUUGUAAGUGGAAGUUUGACAGGAAGUAAUGCAUGAGGGAGCUAAUGAACAUACUUUUAGCUAUGGACCUUGAGUGAAUGACUUUUGACUGGUUAGUGUUCUGGUAGGGUCAGAAGAAGAAGUAAACUUAACAAAGAAUUUUUGGAACUUGGAGAGCAUGUCUGAAAAUUUUCAACAUACCCAUUGGUCUGACUGAGAGGAAAAAGCAGCUAUCCAGUGAUAUCCAGAGUCACAUGACUGAGGUUAAGAUGUGGGAUCCACCAAACAGUCAAACAACUUGCUAGCCAAGGUAAGACCCAGUGGAAAGCGGGAUUUUAGCUCAUAUCCGAUAAAUAAGCAUGGAUGGAACUUUGGUAUGAAGCAAUCUGAAGCAAGAUUGUAUUGCUGUCUUCAAAUUUCCUUCUCUUCCCUUGUAGUUAGUAUUUUUGUUCAUUUUUGUUUUUGAGAUGGAAAGUGUAGAAAGUUCAUUAGUCGAUCCACCAGUGGGAUUUCAAUUCAGACCAACAGAUGAGGAACUUGUCAAUCAUUACUUGAAGUUGAAGGUUCUUGGCAACAAAGCAGUUGAACAGAUGAGUCCCGAGGUUGAUGUCCAUCAAUUGCCACCUUGGGAUUUACCCGGCAAGAUAAAUGAAUUAUCAUGGACAAAGUCAGAUGGUGACGAAUGGUUCUUCUUCUACCAUCUGCAAAAUAAGUACCCUCAAAGUAAACGGUCCAGAAGGACAAAUGAUUAUGGCUCUUGGAAGCCAACCGGCAAAACUCACGAAAUCAGGACACAAGACAAAAGGAAGAUAUUAGGUUUGAAGAAAAUUUUGGUUUUCAAAAACGGUCAAAGUCCCAAAAAUGGCCCCACCAAAUGGGUACUACAUGAGUAUCACCUGAAUACUGAUCUUAUGGACAACGUCCUCAAUGACCAGGUACUCAAUCUUCUUGCUUUUCCUUCCAUUAUCAGUGAACUUCAGCGCAAACCACAAUGAACCAUUUAAGGAUGCAUAUGUAUGAUUCAGGUUGCUAAAUGAAUGUUCUCCAUUCCAGGAGCUUUCGCUUAAGAGGUUAUCUGAUUUCAUUUUCUUCUCCGACUUAAUUUGCUUGAGUUGAGACUUAGCAGCUUACUCUUAGUUGUGCUGACUUUAGCUCUUUUCCUAUUGAAAUGAUAUAAGCUCUUAUUAAACUUCUAUUGAAUGGUUUCAACUAAGACCAUUUUACCAAGUGAAAUCUCCAACUCACCGCUAUAGCUAUCAGUAGCCCCAUUCACUCUAAGCUGAACAUGGAAUCUCUUUUCAGAAAGAGUCUUAUGAGUUGAAUGUGGAGUGUUACCAAAGUUAUUAUUUUGAAUGAUAUUUUGUUCUUUGAGGGCGGUUUUGUUUUUCUUUUCGGAUUAUGUCACGAAGUGCUUUCAGAGAUCUGUGUUUAGACUUGAAUAAAUUGUUACCUCGUCUUUUGUCUUUCUAUAUUAGAGUGAUGUCGUUCUUUACUGCUUGAAGAAAAAACCUUAUAAGGAGGGUAAGGAAAUUCAAAGACUCAGGAGACCAACACAGGUAUCUCUAUUAUGCCUCAAGAAGGCAGCAGAAGCAGCCCUAACACGCUUGAUGAAGUCAACAGCACAAGUAUCUCUAUUAUGCCUCACGAGGGCGACGGAAGUUUCUGUAACACCCCCGAUGAAGUCCAUAACACAUGUUGCUCCAAUGCAUUAGUGACUGCCAAAAGCAUAGUAUCUGAAGAAAUUCUGAAGGAAUCUUUAAAAGAAAAUGUACAGCGACCACCGACACCAAUUCUCUCACUGGAAUGCAACUCAUCACAAUUUGAUGUCUCUGCGACUCCACAGCCACCCACAGCGACCGGGGAGCAAUUUAGUCAUGAUUUGGUAUAUCGAGAUUGGGAGUCUUAUUAGGCUGAUACUGAAGACCUCCAAGAGAUAUGGUAGGUGUUGAAUUCGUAAGCUGGUUCUAGCAUAAACACUCUUCUGAAGAAAGCAUCACACAAGCUUUUUGUGGCUAUAGGUAAUCAUCAGCCAGUGGAAGCGCACUCUUUAAGUGCUGAUAAAGAUGCUGAUAAAGAGUAUGCCCAUGAUGUGUUGCUGGAAAAUAUUUUCCUGUCCCUGUACAUUAUUUGCUUAUUGAGUUUUUAUUCCAAGCUGCAUAAUACGAGCUAUUUGUUGUGGCAGAAGGUGGAAUUUUUACAGUGAAAUUCGCCAGAAAUGCAGAAACAGUUAUUUG